rnacentral:tRNA from 1 species
UGCGGGCUGGUGUAAUUGGUAACACGUUGGAAUUUGGAUCCAAAGAUUCUAGGUUCGAGACCUAGGCCCGCAAC